GAUGAACGCUAGCGGCAGGCCUAAUACAUGCAAGUCGGACGGGAUUUGGGAGCUUGCUCCUAAUGAGAGUGGCGCACGGGUGCGUAACACGUAUGUAACCUACCUUAAUCAGGGGGAUAGCCUCUCGAAAGAGAGAUUAACACCGCAUAACCUAUUUUUAUGGCAUCGUAGAAAUAUCAAAUAUUUAUAGGAUUAAGAUGGGCAUGCGGAACAUUAGCUAGUUGGUAAGGUAACGGCUUACCAAGGCUACGAUGUUUAGGGGAUCUGAGAGGAUGACCCCCCACACUGGUACUGAGACACGGACCAGACUCCUACGGGAGGCAGCAGUAAGGAAUAUUGGUCAAUGGGCGCAAGCCUGAACCAGCCAUGCCGCGUGCAGGAAGACGGCCCUAUGGGUUGUAAACUGCUUUUGUACCGGAAUAAACCCUUUUACGUGUAGAAGGCUGAAUGUACGGUAAGAAUAAGGAUCGGCUAACUCCGUGCCAGCCGCCGCUGUAAGAC
rnacentral:rRNA from 1 species